UACGGAGGGUGCGAGCGUUGUCCGGAAUCACUGGGCGUAAAGGGCGCGUAGGCGGCCUGAUAAGUAGGGGGGUGAAAUCCUGCGGCUUAACCGCAGGGCUGCCUUCUAAACUGUCAGGCUAGAGCACGGUAGAGGCAGAUGGAAUUCCCGGUGUAGCGGUGGAAUGCGUAGAGAUCGGGAAGAACAUCAGUGGCGAAGGCGGUCUGCUGGGCCGUUGCUGACGCUGAGGCGCGACAGCGUGGGGAGCAAAC
rnacentral:rRNA from 1 species